CUGGGUAGGAACGCUGCUGCUGGUUGGCUGGUAGGAGGUGCUGCAGAGAGACCCCUACCUGACUGUCAUCCUCUCUCAGUGGCGAGUCCAUCUAGUUCAGACUCAGACAGGUGGAAGAAGUCAACUCCUAACUAGGGUAUAAUGAAGCAUGAUGGAAGUAUUUGACCCAGCGGCUCUUCUAUACCCAGGAGGCCCUGACUGCCACAUUCACCAGUUGAUUUUCCAGGGAACAUAAUCAGAGGCAGAAUCGUCUGGUGGUUAAAAGUACAAUCUGGAGUUAGACUGCUUGAUUUUCAAUCCCAGCUCUUCCACUCAUCAGCUUUGUUAUCUUAGGGCCAGGUAACUAGAUUGAAGCAGAGUCCAUGAAGAACUAACCAUGCCUCAC
rnacentral:lncRNA from 1 species